UAGGGAAUUUUCGUCAAUGGGCGCAAGCCUGAACGAGCAGUGCCGCGUGAACGAGGAAGGUCUUCGGAUCGUAAAGUUCUGUUGAAGGGGAAAAAGAGCGGAGAGAGGAAAUGGUCUCCGAUUGAUAUUACCCUUCGAGGAAGUCACGGCUAACUACGUGCC
rnacentral:rRNA from 1 species